GGGUUGUGAGGUUAAGCGACUAAGCGUACACGGUGGAUGCCCUGGCAGUCAGAGGCGAUGAAGGACGUGCUAAUCUGCGAAAAGCGUCGGUAAGGUGAUAUGAACCGUUAUAACCGGCGAUGUCCGAAUGGGGAAACCCAGUGCAAUUCGUUGCACUAUCGUUAACUGAAUACAUAGGUUAACGAGGCGAACCGGGGGAACUGAAACAUCUAAGUACCCCGAGGAAAAGAAAUCAACCGAGAUUCCCCCAGUAGCGGCGAGCGAACGGGGAGCAGCCCAGAGUCUGAAUCAGCUUGUGUGUUAGUGGAACGGUCUGGAAAGUCCGACGGUACAGGGUGAUAGUCCCGUACACCAAAAUGCACAGGCUGUGAACUCGAAGAGUAGGGCGGGACACGUGGUAUCCUGUCUGAAUAUGGGGGGACCAUCCUCCAAGGCUAAAUACUCCUGACUGACCGAUAGUGAACCAGUACCGUGAGGGAAAGGCGAAAAGAACCCCGGCGAGGGGAGUGAAAAAGAACCUGAAACCGUGUACGUACAAGCAGUGGGAGCACCUUCGGGUGUGACUGCGUACCUUUUGUAUAAUGGGUCAGCGACUUAUAUUCUGUAGCAAGGUUAACCGUAUAGGGGAGCCGCAGGGAAACCGAGUCUUAACUGGGCGUUAAGUUGCAGGGUAUAGACCCGAAACCCGGUGAUCUAGCCAUGGGCAGGUUGAAGGUUGGGUAACACUAACUGGAGGACCGAACCGACUAAUGUUGAAAAAUUAGCGGAUGACUUGUGGCUGGGGGUGAAAGGCCAAUCAAACCGGGAGAUAGCUGGUUCUCCCCGAAAGCUAUUUAGGUAGCGCCUCGUGAACUCAUCUUCGGGGGUAGAGCACUGUUUCGGCUAGGGGGUCAUCCCGACUUACCAACCCGAUGCAAACUACGAAUACCGAAGAAUGUUAUCACGGGAGACACACGGCGGGUGCUAACGUCCGUCGUGAAGAGGGAAACAACCCAGACCGCCAGCUAAGGUCCCAAAGUCAUGGUUAAGUGGGAAACGAUGUGGGAAGGCACAGACAGCCAGGAUGUUGGCUUAGAAGCAGCCAUCAUUUAAAGAAAGCGUAAUAGCUCACUGGUCGAGUCGGCCUGCGCGGAAGAUGUAACGGGGCUAAACCAUGCACCGAAGCUGCGGCAACGACACUAUGUGUUGUUGGGUAGGGGAGCGUUCUGUAAGCCUGCGAAGGUGUGCUGUGAGGCAUGCUGGAGGUAUCAGAAGUGCGAAUGCUGACAUAAGUAACGAUAAAGCGGGUGAAAAGCCCGCUCGCCGGAAGACCAAGGGUUCCUGUCCAACGUUAAUCGGGGCAGGGUGAGUCGACCCCUAAGGCGAGGCCGAAAGGCGUAGUCGAUGGGAAACAGGUUAAUAUUCCUGUACUUGGUGUUACUGCGAAGGGGGGACGGAGAAGGCUAUGUUAGCCGGGCGACGGUUGUCCCGGUUUAAGCAUGUAGGCUG
rnacentral:rRNA from 1 species